rnacentral:snRNA from 1 species
AUAUUCACCUGACGGGGGAGGUACCAUGAUCAUGAAGGUGGUUUUCCCAGGGUGAGGCUUUUCCAUUGCACUCCAGAUGUUCUGACCCCUGAGAUCCCCAAAUGUGGGAAACCUGACGUCAUAAUUUGUGGUAGUGGGGGAAUGCAUUUGCACUCUCCCC